AGUCACAUUGCCGGCAUGCACUUAUGAAGGCCGAAAGGAUUGAGGGCAUAACUUUACCUGCAAACUCUUCUACCCAUAUUUUUCCAUUAGUUUCACUGACAGGACACAAUUUGUGUAGAUCAGAUUUUCCAGAGGACGACACCCUUGAUCAAGUUGAUGUUGUUGAUGGCAAUCUGCGCACUUACUUCAACUUGGAUAGAACGAUUUCGAAUUUUCUGCAGCUUUUCUAUUAAAUCAAGUGUUUUUGGAAAUGUCACUGAUUCGUUUAAUGUCUAUCGCUCUUUAAUGUCUAUCGCUCUGUGCGCAGAUCAUGACAGACCCAGAUGCCCCUAGUCCCAGGGAGCCUGUUGGAUGUGAGUAUCUAUACAUUGGUAUAUUGCAAUGCUUUUCACAUGUCUUCUCAUUCCGGUUUCAUUCAAGAAAUUAACCCUAUUCAGCCGACCCGGUGACAUUUAGUUACGUGUCAACACUUAACCCUAUUAACCCUAUUGAUCAUGAAAUUUGCCCUUCUGUUCAUUCACAUAACUGAUUGGUUUGGGUUUUGCUUAGAAUUUUUUCACAUGUUGAAGAGAUACCAUUUAAUAAUCUGCCUGGAGGAGUUACAGAGUGCAAAAUUCCGAAUGACCAUUCGCAUCGAUUAAUUUGGCAUUCACAACUGUUUGUGGUACAAAUAUUUCUCCAGCAAGUUAUUUUGAAAUUAUUGCUUUUCUUUACACAUGAAACCAUCAAACUGUAUCUUUCCAAAUUCUAGGAAUCAAUACUUCAAAUUUCUAUUCUCUAGCAAAUAUUGAAUAUUAAAAGUUCAUGGAUAUCCAUACCCUGUUCCAGGCUCACCAAUUCGGCACAUGCAGGAGGAACGCUUGCAAAAGCAAAAGUGUUGGAUUGACAGCCUACUCCCUUACUGUGCAUUUUAUAAUACACUUUCAAGGCCGCCUCAAAAAACCAAUGCUUGGCAUAAGCUGAAAUCAUGGUGUUCCACGAGGCCACAUCUCGUUGGGGAGUUGCAUGAGAAAAUUGCAGAGCCUCAUUAAGGCUCCCAUUCUGUACAUAUCCCGCAAUCAUUGAAUUCCAUGAGACUGCGUCUUUUUGAGCUGUUUUAUGUCUUUCGCAUCUUUCAAUAAAGGCCCAAAUAUUGAUGGAAAGGUACUUUUGAGAUGUAUAAUUAGAUCAGUGUUGAUCCAUCCAUAGGCAUUAAUAUGGUAUACUACCAGCUAGAGAGAUUGCCCAUGCUGGUAAUUGUUCCCUCCUAUGGAUUUGCUAGAACUCAUAUCCACUAUCACUACAUUCCGUGCAUUGCCUCUCAUUGUCCAUCACAGACCAGGUUCGAAAGGGCUUAUAUUGAUGCAAGCAUGUUGAGUAACCAGAUUUGAAAAGUUAAAAAACAAAGAUUAAUGUGUCCCACAAGCAAGGAGCAACUAAUAAGAUCUAUGUGAGAUCAAUCAUCUAUCUCAAUCAAUAGUACAACCAGCAAUAAUUCUAUCAAUCUCAACUAGCACUGAUGGUGAAAGUUGUAACCAAUAUUUUACUGCUGAACCUGGCUGGAACUGGAAGCCAAACUCAUUUCAUCUUUUCAACUGAUUCCGGAUGAGAAUACUAAUAAAAUAAUUUUUCUAUUUUUUCAGCUCGAUGUCUCACACUUUAUCACUAGUUCCCUUUUGUUCUUCUUUCUUUUGGUGACUUGAAAUUAAAGAUCUUUUUUUCAGAAUCCAUAGCGUUUAUAUGUAAUAAUUUUGGUGCGUCCUCUUCUUUAUGGCAAUGCAGAGUCUUUUUUUCUGAAUUACAUGCUUCUUGCCCUAGGAUGAAGGUUCUACAGCUAGGUUCAUGAUUUCUUGGAGGUCAUACUCAAUUAUUUUAUUCACUUAGUUAUCAAGAUUCAUUUUAUUGUAUUUAUUAUUACAAGAAAUUCAUUGGAGGGAUUGUCGUGGGUGUUCUUUUUGAAGUGUUCUACUAAAGGACUGAAAUCAUACUUGACCUUAAAUCACAUCAACCAAACUUCAAGAAGGCCAAACUUUGAAUCUGCAAACCAAAAAAUUUAGAUGUAGGUCAAAAAGUUUGGAUGCAUUGACAGAUCACGUUGAAGAAUUCUUGAAAUUGAUGUCUUGUUGGUGUUGUAAUGAAUUCCAACUUGAAUGAUUUGCAAAAUGCAUGUGGAAAAGAUAGACUUUCUGUAGUUGAUUUCAAUGAGGACUAGCAUUCUACUUGCUCAUGAGCAAAGUAAUCUGAUUAGCUCCAGGUUGCACCAUUAGCAGAAAUGGGUGUAGAAGACUCGCCAACAGAAGAAGCAAUUGGAGAAAUGGGUUUAGAAGCCCACUUAUAAAGUGGAAGUCUUGAUCUUUUGCUUCUUGGCUUGCCUAGAAUUCUAAUUCUUGAACAAAGAAUAGAUCUCUUCCCAGUGCAGGACCUGUUAUCUGAUUCUGAACUGAGAUCAGAACUUUUGGCAUUUUCAGAAGUAUAAUUUUUGGCAUUUUCAGAAGCAUUUUCCGGGCCUCGUUCUUCUUUCAUUUUAUGCUUGAAAUCAGCAGAAGUUAUCUAUUUUGGUUCUCCUCCUGAGAAUUCUUUCAUCCAAUCAAUGCCAUAGAAACAGUCUAUAGGGAAAAGAGAUACCAGUUCUAAUUGUUACAUAAAUAAAGAGAAAACCCAUGUCAAAGAUUAUUCAUAUAAUAGUUCUUGAUGUUUUUGGAUUCGA